rnacentral:rRNA from 1 species
AAAACACUAUUGAACGCUAGCGGGAUGCCUUACACAUGCAAGUCGAACGGCAGCGCGGGGCAACCUGGCGGCGAGUGGCGAACGGGUGAGUAAUACAUCGGAACGUGCCCAGUAGCGGGGGAUAACUACGCGAAAGCGUAGCUAAUACCGCAUACGCCCUACGGGGGAAAGCAGGGGAUCGCAAGACCUUGCACUAUUGGAGCGGCCGAUAUCGGAUUAGCUAGUUGGUGGGGUAACGGCUCACCAAGGCGACGAUCCGUAGCUGGUUUGAGAGGACGACCAGCCACACUGGGACUGAGACACGGCCCAG